GGCCCGUCGGCCCUGCAAAGUUUAACGCCAAUUCCCCUUGCGUCCUGGGAGCCGAGCGUUUUCUCUCCCUGCUGACGCUCCCAGCAGCUCUGCCUGGCCAGGCCAGGCUGGAGAGCACCCGGACCAUUUUCCAGACGGUGAGAUGGAGCCCUGGAAACCGAGCUUAUGAGCAGCCCGGAGCUUUCCAUUGCCUGCCCAGCCUUCCAGAUACAUCCCAGUUCCAGUUCUUUCCAGAGCCCUCUGGGAUCCAGCCAGCCUGCUUCCCCGCCAGGGCCUCACUGCUUCCAAACCUACUUCCCAGAAAUUUGGUGGCUGCCUCUGUGCUAUGAUUUGGUUGCUACCUGCUGAAGCUUCAACCUCUCAUCACUACCAGAAGGACCACAUCACUAAAAGUCCAUCAAUGGGGUUACUCACUUUGAUGGGCCUGUGCAGCGUCAUUCAGGAAGCCCGUGGUACUCACAUCACUCUGGCCAGACGCUAACAAGAAAAUGAUCCACUGUGACGCAGCCGACCCCAUCCAGUGCAUCCACAUUACCUGGAAAGAAGCAAUUAUGCCCCUUUGGUUUCCUUGGAAAUGCUUGGUCUGUCUCUACCAUCCGCCCUGGCUCUUGAGAAAUACUCAUGCACGGUAGAGCUUUGACAGGGAGACAGUGUGUUUAUUUUCCAACUGAAAGUUUACAGAAUACAAAGUGAGCCUGUAAGAUGGUGGCCACUCUCCAGAGGCUUGUUGGUCAGACAGGAAAGAAAACCAGUGCACCAUCGGGAACGUGGAGGAGGCUGAAAGAGAGGGACAAACAUAUUGGAUUGGAUUGGGCCCCCACAGUCAAGUUCCUGCAAACCAAGCUGGGAGAUUUUCCUGACUAAGGGUUAUGUUCUUGGGCCUCAAAGCUCCCCAGCCAACGCCCAGCUUCUGUGCCGAGGAGGAUACAGGAGGACAGACACAGCCUCUGUGUCAGGAGGAGGGAAGAAGGACUAAUGUCUGUGGACACUCUGAGGCUCACAGGGAGAAGCCACACACUCGCAGCACCAGGUCUGUGGUUUUUCAUGACCCUACACUGUCCCCUAGAAGGAAGUACCACCCAGCAGAAACAGAAGCCAAGGAAUUUCCCCAUAGAGAUCAUGGCAUGGGCUUGAGUUCAAGAACUCAAUGGACAGCGGGCAGAAAUUGGAAAGCCCAGAGCCUCCACCACUAACUCCUGUGUGACUUCUGUAAGUCCCUUGCCCUUAAUUCACCCAUAUGAAAAAUUAGGAAAAAUGAUCUCUCACUUCUGAAAUUCAAUAAUUCUAUGAUGUCAGCAACUGGACCCAAGAGAUGAUGAGUUCUGCUACAGUUGUCUUGAUGAAAGUAAAAGCUGACAUUUUUUUAAGCAGCUGCUUAGAGUUUACCACUUGAGAUUUCAUGUAAUCCUUACAACCACUCUAGAAGAUGAGUAAACAGAGGCUUGGAGGGGUGAUGAAAUUUGCCAACAGUCAUCAAUCGGUAAGUGUGACAGAAGUAGGACUGGAACCCAGGGCUGUCUGACCUCUGGCUUGAGUCUAUAACCGCUUGGCCAUACUGCCUUUCAGUUCCAGGAACAGGUGAUGCUUCCCGGCAGUGAGACUCGAAACCAGCGGGAGUUCCCAGCCAGAGACAUGAUCUAAGUGCCAAUGGCUGAAUGUCUGUGAGCAUUUCAAGUCAUUUUAAGAAUAGGCAACAUUAGCGGCACCAUUAAAGCCUGCUGUUCCUCCAGCCCAUCACUGCCAUCCCCACCUAUUAAAAUAAUGGCAUGAAAAAUAAACAGCCUUUAUGUACA
rnacentral:lncRNA from 1 species